rnacentral:rRNA from 1 species
UACAGAGGGGGCAAGCGUUGUUCGGAAUUACUGGGCGUAAAGGGCGCGUAGGCGGCCUGCUAAGUCGAACGUGAAAUCCCCGGGCUCAACCCGGGAACUGCGUCCGAUACUGGCAGGCUUGAAUCCGGGAGAGGGAUGUGGAGUUCCAGGUGUAGCGGUGAAAUGCGUAGAUAUCUGGAGGAACACCGGUGGCGAAGGCGGCAUCCUGGACCGGUAUUGACGCUGAGGCGCGAAAGCCAGGGGAGCAAAGCGGG